rnacentral:tmRNA from 2 species
GGGGGCGAAAUAGGAUCGACGUGCCUAAUAAAAAGAUUGCUUUUACUCGGGAUGAUUCCGCCGAUGGCUUGUGCCAUAUGGGUCAAAACAAAGAAACGCAAACGAUAAUAAUCGUUCUGUAGGUCGUUUAGCUUUAGCAGCUUAAUCCUACGCGGCUGGAGGGUGUGCCGGGCAACAGAACAACCCUCACU